CUCAGAGCUAGAGGCCCAGGUCACCGUGGCUCCUCCCAAUAAGGAAGCAGAAGGCAUUCAGCCUCACUAGUGAGGCCCACCGAAACACUCCGAACCCGAAGCCGGUCGCAUGGAGGGUCGCGCGUGCAGAGCCUCGAGAGCCGGCCGCAGGGGUCCGGACUUCCCGCGGGCGCCUCGAGGCCGAGCCCAAGCAUCCGCGCCGACUCCAGCCGAAGGCUGAGUCACCGUCCGCGCGGCCCAGAGGCCGGGGCCCAGCCGGUUACCUUCGGCAGGGAACUCCUCGAACUCGUCGUCCUCCUCCAAGAGACCCAAAUCUACCGGCUGCUUUUUUUCUGACAUGACGACGCUCCGCGCCAGAAACCUCUCAGGCCAAAAGGAAAGUUAGAACUCUCACUUUUCCUCACCGAAGCCACCAACGCCGCUGCCGCCUCGGAGGCCGGCUCUACCAUAGAGACGCGGUAGAAGAGCAACGGAAGCAGCGCGAGGAAUGCUGGGAUAGUGGAGGUCCACCCAGCGCUUCCUGCGGGUUUAGCAAUCCGUCAGAGUUAGAGAUGGAUCAUUUUGUGCUUUUAGUUUUAUCUGGACUCUCUGAAUUGACAAAUUUGGCAUCCGGGAAGAAAUGGUGAGGGACUGCUAAAUGCCUGAUAUCUGGAGGAAGGACUGAUUUCAAAGUCACCUUCAUUUUGACCUCAGGAAGUUACAGCUAAUUAGCCAACCAUGAAGAACUGAGGAGACAGGUCUACACAUCAAGUCUCUAGGAUGUCCUUUCAGGCCAGCAGACAUUUAAGAAACAUCAACUGUGUUCCAAGCGCUGGAGAUACAGAGAUGAGCAAGUCCUGGCCUUCAAGAACAUGUUAUCAGG